GAAUGCCAUGUGUAAAAAAAAUAUUUAACGGUCGAGAUCAGUUCCCAAAACAUUAAUAUAUUUUUUUAAUAAAAAAUCAAAAUUGAGGGAAUCAAUCAAUACACAAAACCAGAAACCAGGAUCUUCAUCUUCCUCACAAAAAGCACAAUUUUUCUACCAAACACUACCGCACAACACCAUCACAACCACCACCAUCUCAAAAAAACAAAAAAUAAAGAACAAUGAAGAACAAAAAGAAACAGAACAGAGCAAAGAAGGAAGAAGGAGCCAAGAUCUCGCCGUUGACGUCGAAUCCGACCACCACCACUCACCACCAAGAAUGGGGACAUCCACCGCGCUCACCACCGCGAGCACUUCACAGUUCGCUCUUUCUCUCUCGCCGGACCUCCGCCUGUUCUUUGUCUCUCUCGUCGGGUUUGCUCAGUUAAUGGUUGAGAUCAAUUGGCAUUAAGAGGAGGCAUCAUCACUCUAUAUUGAGAUGGUGGGUGGUGGUUGUGUGGUAGUGAUUGAGUUAGGAU
rnacentral:lncRNA from 1 species